AUACUUAUUUAUGUAAAUUCAUAGGUACAAAGCCGUAUACAUGUGCGGAGUUUGCGUAAUCGGAAGUAAUAAUCAAUUGUGCCGCAUUUCCUCUUACUAUGCAUAUGCCU